AUGGAAUAAUUUCCUGGAUUUGCGAUGUUUGCAUUCAUUUCAGCCAAAUAAAUGUUAAUUUGUAAGGCUAGAUGUCAGCCUUGGGCAGAAGGGGACGAGGAAUAUUCUUCUGUGGGCACAGUCUUUCGUGGCUCUGAACAGAAUGGAGAAAACAUCGGAGAAGUUCUGAAUCUCAGUGCUCUGAAUUUUCAAGUCCAAGUACAGAAAGCUUGAGGUGUAUCAGGAGCCUGCAAUGUGAGACUGUCUCUAUUUUGUUCAUAGGAGAUGAUUUUUGUGGUGUAAUUACAGCCCGAUCUGGAGACAGCUAGCACAGCAAACAGAUUUCAUUACAUCGUUCACUCAAACACUAAGUGGAGUUAUUUCUGUUAAAUUCUCUCCUCCCUCCUUCUCCCCCUGCACUCCUCCCCGCUCUGUCACACAGCUUAUUUAUCAUAGACCACCGUGUUGCAUUCCACCGAGUGCAAAAUACAAACACAAACUGCAUCCUCUAAAAACAUACUGAAAAUGUAUCCUGCAUAAUGUACAUAAUACUCCGUGUAAUAUAUGUCUAUAUUAUACUGUAAUAUUGCAUGUAUAAUAAGGACGCUUGAGACAAUCUUUGUACAGGAGCAGUGCCCAACACUCAGGAUUUGUUUUAUUUUGGAGAAUGUCUUCAGCAUCUGCCUUAGAACUUCAGGGAACUUCACAGGUGAAAAUGUACAGUGGUUAGCUAAUGUAGGCACUGCGCUUGGAAGUAAAUAUUUAAAUCAACCCCAGUCAUAUUUCAGACAGCUUUUCUGGACCUGAUUUGAACAUGUUACAUAUAGAAGGAGCCACACCUUGUCUUUAUCUUGCAUCUACGCUAAGUGCUUCAAAAUGACUAAAGGCUGCAAGAAACUUGGGUCUGCUGGAGAUAUUCUGAGCCAUCUUACCUCGGUUAUAUGAAGAAAAAAACAUGCAAAACAACUGUGUACACCUGGUUUAUUUUUUCAUGAAAGUACAUCUUUUUUAUUUGUACGUUUUACUAAUAAAGGCAAAUC
rnacentral:lncRNA from 7 species